AACCAUAGAAACCUGCGGAGUACCUGCGGAGGGAUCAUUACCGAGUUUACAACUCCCAAACCCCUGUGAACAUACCUAUACGUUGCCUCGGCGGAUCAGCCCGCGCCCUGUAAAAAGGGACGGCCCGCCCGAGGACCCCUAAACUCUGUUUUUAGUGGAACUUCUGAGUAAAACAAACAAAUAAAUCAAAACUUUUAACAACGGAUCU
rnacentral:misc_RNA from 1 species